rnacentral:lncRNA from 1 species
CACCCAGAUCGGCUACGUCCACGGAGUAUAGGAGUUCUCAUUAAUUGUGAAGGGUUUACAUAAGUACAUAGGUUCAAGCUCUCCUUUAGUGAGUACUAGUGAAUGAUUUAGUACAAAUGACAUUAGGAAAUAUUGUGAAAGAAUGAUCUCUAUUUAUAGAAGAGAAUUUCUAGUUUCAUUCUGACAUUGACACGUGUCGUGUUGUGAUUGGCUUCUGAUGUUGACACGUGUCGCGCUGUGAUUGGCCUCCUGGUUGGAGAGAAACUCUUCUAGGUCCUUGACGGUAUAACAUUGACCGGUGCUCAGUAGUUUCGGGAUUGAUCAAGUAUAGUACAAACAUUAUUAAUUCCCAAAUAAAUUACACCAAGGAAGUACAACAAUAUUAUAAGGAAGAAUGACAUGCAAAUGACAUUUAAACCCCUAAUGCACGCAAUAGUUAGAUGUAAAACACCAACGACACCUAAAAUGGCGUCCACAUUAGUACAAGCCAUGGUGGGGUUUCGGUAAACGUUAACUGAUGCUGAUCAUCUUCUUGUUCUUGGUGUUUGGCGCUUUAGCCUUGUCGGUUGUGAAAAUCGAAGAGAAAAAUUGGACGAUAUUCGCUUCACUGACCUCCUCUUUGCUGGAAUUACGCUCGCAGUCGCACCUGCUUUCGGUUUGAAACAAUAUGGUUGCUCAUCAGGAUUCUUGCCUAUUUUAUGCGAUGACUUCAAUUUCAUCAGCAUACCUUUUGGCUUUGUCUCUAGACUUGCCUUCGCUGAUAUCUCUCUAUGUCUCGGUGUGUUGAUUUGUGUGCUCGUGAACCAUAAUUUUAUGAGUUUAAAUAAGCAGCAAAGAAGGCAAGACGAAGAGAGUGGUAAUUGGUGAACUAUGGAUCGACGUAGGCUCUUUUACAAUUUGGUCGUGUAUGUUGAGAGAUUUUCAGUGUGACCAUCACACGAAGUGGUACACCACGUGUCCUUAUAGAAAUAGUGGGUUAUGUGUGUUAAAAGGUUAAUAACUUAAAAAUUAAAAUUUUCCACCACUUGCAUAAAAACAUAUGAUAUACCAUCCGUAUUCCUAUUACAACUAAAAAAUUCUCGUGUAGCUAGGUCAAUGUCAUGACGUGAACGUAUUAAUUACGCACUUUUAGUUUUGCGUCAUUAGAGCCGCACCAAACGGACUUGGCUUAUCUGCCCUCUUAGUUCCCACACACUCCCAUCCCCUCUUAUUUGU